GACGAACGCUGGCGGCGUGCCUAAUACAUGCAAGUUGAGCGCUGAAGGUUGGUACUUGUACCAACUGGAUGAGCAGCGAACGGGUGAGUAACGCGUGGGGAAUCUGCCUUUGAGCGGGGGACAACAUUUGGAAACGAAUGCUAAUACCGCAUAAAAACUUUAAACACAAGUUUUAAGUUUGAAAGAUGCAAUUGCAUCACUCAAAGAUGAUCCCGCGUUGUAUUAGCUAGUUGGUGAGGUAAAGGCUCACCAAGGCGAUGAUACAUAGCCGACCUGAGAGGGUGAUCGGCCACAUUGGGACUGAGACACGGCCCAAACUCCUACGGGAGGCAGCAGUAGGGAAUCUUCGGCAAUGGACGAAAGUCUAACCGAGCAACGCCGCGUGAGUGAAGAAGGGUUUCGGAUCGUAAAACUCUGUUGGUAGAGAAGAACGUUGGUGAGAGUGGAAAGCUCAUCAAGUGACGGUAACUACCCAGAAAGGGACGGCUAACUACGUG
rnacentral:rRNA from 1 species